GGUGGCCGGCGGCCUGCUGGGGGCGCUGUGGCCCGCCGGGCGGCCCCUCAGAGCCGCCAUAGCCUCCCGCGUUCCCCAACCCAACGUCUCCGCCGUCCGCUCCGCGGCGCCGCCAUGGCCGAUGUGGAAGACGGCGAGGAACCCUGUGCCCUGGCCUCUCACACCGGGAGCGCAGGCUCCAAGUCGGGAGGCGACAAGAUGUUCUCCCUCAAGAAGUGGAACGCGGUGGCCAUGUGGAGCUGGGACGUGGAGUGCGAUACGUGCGCCAUCUGCAGGGUCCAGGUGAUGGAUGAGGGAAUUGGAGUUUGUAAUUGGUCCAAGGCCAUGAACCUAGUAAAUGCCAGUGAAGUGGGAUUUAACUGUAGCUCUCCUGGCUCCGCAGCCCUUCCUUUCCCCUCUGUGUCUCACUGCCUGCUUGCCAGCCUUGUCUGGUUGACCAUCAGUAGCAACCUGUUGGAAGCAUACAAAGCAGUUCAUUUUAAAGGAACUCUCAAGUGUCUUAGGGCAGAGAGUAAAAAGUUACUUUUUAUGAGUUGCUGAAGGCAAACUUAUGUGUCAAUGCCUGUCUUAGAUGUCAAGCUGAAAACAAACAAGAGGACUGUGUUGUGGUCUGGGGAGAAUGUAAUCAUUCCUUCCACAACUGCUGCAUGUCCCUAUGGGUGAAACAGAACAAUCGCUGCCCUCUCUGCCAGCAGGACUGGGUGGUUCAAAGAAUUGGCAAAUGAAGUGGUUAGAAGACUUCUUAGUGCAGUUGUUCAGAGCCCUGGUGGAUCUUGUUAUCACAUGCCCUACAAAGGCUAGAACACUCCAGGGGAUUAAUUCUUCAAAUAGGAGUCGAUGGAUGUGUGGUCCUUUGGGACUCAUCAAAGGCUUGGUUUAGCAUUUUGUCAGUUUUAUUUUCAGAAAUUCUCUGCAAUUAAGAAGAUAAUUUAUUAAAGAUGGUCCUUCCUACCUCCGUGGCGUGUGUCAUACACACAGCUUAGAAGUGCUAUAAAAAAGGAGAGAGCUUAAGAUUGAAUCACCUUUAUAAUUUACCCAUUUCUAUACAACUGGCUGUGGAAGCAGUUUCAUUCAGAAAACUUCGCAUGCUUAUGGUUGAUUGGUUAAAAAAGAAUGUUACAGUAACAAAUAAAGUGCAGUUUAAAACCCAA